UUGAUGUGUGAUGACAUAGAUGAUGUCAUUGACUGUGUCCUUCCUGUUGUGUUACAGAUAAAGCUUCCAGUGUUUCCUCUCCUUGUGCUCGUCCCUCCGUCCGUUUGCCCUCCUUCGUCACCGCUCAGCCCUUUUCCUUCCCCCUCUUGCCCGUAGCGCGCCCCCCCGGCCCCCUCCCCCCCACCUCGGCCCCCCCUCCCUUCAGAGGUCUGACGGAGACGCUGCUGCAGGACUUUGAGGACAGACGAGUGAAAGAGAAGCUGGAUGAGAGCGCAUACGCAGGGAUUCAGCUGGUCGACGACGUGAAUAACGAGGUCGUUGAGUCGACUCGAGUGACUCGACA